ACAACCUUACUUGAACAGGAUCUAUUCUAUAGGAUCGUACCUUUGUGUCCUUUUUGAACCUCUGUGUCCUUUAGCACGAAGGAGACAUGAACCACAUGGCGCCGU
rnacentral:snoRNA from 1 species